GGAGACUAACAUCGGUCAAACAGAUUGCGAUGAGGUAACUGCGCAAAUAAAAUCGGAAACCUCCCCCCAUAUCAGUGCACGGUUCCCUUCCUCGUCUCGCGCAGGAUCCAUCGCACGUCCGGAGGCCGGUGGCGGAGGCAUCACCACAAGCUGAGCAAGGCAAAUCCGGCUGGUAGAUUGUUCAGAUCCGGCUGGUACGUGUUGGUAACAAUCCUGCGUGUUCAUCUAAUUGUCCAGAUUCGGCUGGUACGUGGUGGUAACAAUCCUGCGUGUUCAUCUACAGAUGUGUCUGAGACAAGAAUUAACGUUGUUGAAUCCAAUGAGGACUAUAUGGCAGAAGAACCAAUCGAACAUCAUAAUUAUGCUGAAAAAGAUGUCGAGUCAUCUGAUGUCUAAGAAAUAACUACUAAUGAUAAAGAAGGCUUCACAGAUUGUGAUGAUACUGAUGCAGAUUAAAAUGAAGAUGUGCACGGCAACUAGAAAAAGGUUCUGCUGCACACAAGUUGUCCAGAACCAAGAAACUUUUGAUCAGAAUUUCAGUACAUGGCAAGAGAAAAUAAAUGUUGCUGCACACAAGGUAUAUUUCCAUUACCAUAUACAAUAUGUUCAAAAUAUAUCGCUCCGAUGUUUAUGUAUCUACUGGUCGUGUUACUAUUAGAAUGUUGUUCAGAACAAAGAUACUUUGCUUGAAAAUGUCAGUGUACGUGUGGGAGAAAAAACUUCUGCUGCGAACAAGCUAGUAUCUUUUCGUAAUCAGAUACAAAUUUUGCUCAAACUAUAGUGCUAGCUUGUUUAUUUGUUUAUUACCUCUUCUUUGCUAUAAGAGUGUUGUCCAGACCAAAACAAAACAAAAAAGCUGCUAAUGCAGCCAGUAAGAGAGCUCAAAGUGGUUCGCUGAGUUGGUUGGGUGCUAGUGAACUACUUGUAAGACUGCUCAAAUUCAUUUCAUAUGUUCCCCUAUUUUGUUUGUCUUGUCAUGGGUGAUGAGGAUGAUUCUGCCAAUGGUAACUUUGAUUUUCUCUAACAUGCAGGAACUAAAGUAUUCUUGAACAGCCUGAAAAAUCAUAACUGGGACGUAGCUCUUGGUACAAUUGUAAGUUGUGAUCCUAAAUUUAAACUUGAUGGUGCUGAAAUUAGAAAUGGAUUCUGCGUAGUGCAUGUCGAUAUGGCACUUGUCAAAACUAAAAAUUGGGUACGUAGUUGAAAAAACCGCAACACUCUCGGUAAUGCAUAAAAAGCUAAUAUCUUGCCUCUAUUACUACUUGCAUCAUGGCAAUCUUUGUGUAUUAACAACUCAUUUUGUUAUAUUUUUUGUAGAUUCAAAAGAAAAUGGAUGACUAUAUGGUGUGUGGAAAGUGUACUGCAAUGAUGAUGUUCAUGUUCAGAUUCAUGAUGAUGAUGGAUGCUUUCAGUUUUAGUUAAGUUGUAGGGAUGGCGCCUAUUGGAUGUUGUUCCUUGUUGAUUUUUAGUUAAGUUGUAGGGAAGUUGAUUGAUGCUUUCAAUGUAAGUUUUGUUGUCAAGAAAAUAGUCAGAUUAUGCAUCACAUUUGGAUGAUGUUCCUCCUGUAAUAUCCACUAUUGUAAUCCAACAGUUCUAUCUAAUAUAUGAUUUCUUCCUCUA